rnacentral:lncRNA from 1 species
UUGAAACUUCGGGUAUUUUCAGCUAAAUUCUUGGCUUAAUAUAUUUUAAGCUUUCUCAUGCUGGAUGUAUUUGGACAACAAAAUCAUGUGAAGGAGAGGCUUUGCUUUAGGGUGUGAGUCAGCCUAUUGCCAUGCCUCUUAAGACAUCUGCUUACAUCAUUUUCACUGAAGCUCCUCUGUCCAAAGCAAAAGCAAGACACCUUACCUAACCAAGUCCAAGGUCAAUGAAGCAUGGAAUUAUACUCUGCCUGAACCUUGAAGAAGAAGGGAAUGAAUAUUUGCUGAAUAGGAGUUUAAUCCUUCACAGUGCUGAAGCUCAGAGUGGAGAACAUUUUCAACAGCACAACUCAGAAGAGUUGUCUUUUAUCUGAAACUUGUUCUAACUAUAAUGAAGAUGCCUGAGAAAUCCCAAAUUGUUUUUUUUUUUUCAUUGCUCUUCCCAAAAUAUCCUUCUUUAAUUUUUAAUGAGAUCAAAAAGCGUUUUGCAUUAUUAACCAAUAAAAUCCAAGAGUGUUUUUAAGGUACUGUUUUUCACCUUUAGCUCUCAUUGUUUUUUGUUUCUAUUUUUGUAUGUUUUAGAAUGUGUCUUCUUUUUUUUUUUAUUGAUCAUUCUUGGGUGUUUCUCGCAGAGGGGGAUUUGGCAGGGUCACAGGACAAUAGUGGAGGGAAGGUCAGCAGAUAAACAAGUGAACAAAG